UGUCAGGAUCGGUAGCGGCUGGAAUCGUGUUGCUGUAAUUUGCGAGGCUGUUGAGAAGCGUUGAGAUACGAGGUCGAUCCUCCAUCUCCUCCUGAAAGUUCAAAGGGGGUAUUGUAAUUCCAGGUCCUUGAGCAGGAUAUCAUGCGAACAAACUUGGAAGCUUUUAUUCGAAAAACUUUAAGUUUGGCAUAAAGAAUAUUUGCACUUUAAAAUAUAAUCUUAUAUUUUUUUUGUUACCUGAAAAAUUUACUACUUGGAUUCUCCCUUAUUUCUGUCUAUGACAAGUUUGACAAUAAACUCACGUAAACCUGAUGGCAAAUGCUUGUAUUCGCGUACCCUUAUAGAAAUCCACCCUCAGCCCUUAUAGUCGCUUAUUUUAUUCGAAGGGUGACCCGGUACACGUAUAGGUGCUAAAUUGAAGAAAGUUACACUCUUUUUCAAUGGAAAACCUCAUUCUCGAGGAGACCAUAGAAAAUUCUUGUAUAAAGUUAACCCAUAGGAAUAUAACGUCUUUUACAUUAUAAUUGCACCUGGCUAGGCGAGCGCACCUGGUACUAUUUAGCAACAAGGAACCGUAAAGAACCGUCGGGCUUCGAGGGAAGAAGUAAUUAUGAUUAUUAAGUUAACUCAUUCUUGUGUAAAGCUUGAGAAGAAAAAAAUAGCAAAGGUUACUCGCCCUUUUAAUUUUAGUCAUCGCGUCUUCCAGGGCCGAGGAUAAAAUUUGUGAUUUUUUUGUUCCUGCCACCUCCCCCCCACCUUUACGUCGCUAUUACGUGCUGGCCGUUAUAUUAUUCGAAUGGGUAUUGGAUAACGAGGAUGAAAUAGGAAUAAAAAAAAAUAAUUCUUUGCAUGAGAAUCGAUAUGGUAGUACGAAUCGGUUUUUUUUUUUGAAUAUUAGAGAAAAAUUAAAAAGUAUCAAAUGAAACGGAAGGAUAAAGAUUCCUGGGGUUGAUAACGUUCAACAGUUUGAAGGUUCAACAGAUAAGAAACUGGGACAGCGAAACCUCGGGCUGGUCUUGCGAAGGAGGGUCCUUCAUUAAAACGUGAGCUCACUCGAAGCGGGUUCCCUUAAUUGUUGUCGAAAGAAAAGCUACCAUGGGAAAAGACUUUACAAUAUUCACCUUUUUCUACUUCAUUUCAUUGUAGAAGUUGAAAUCUUUGGCGGAAUUUUUGUACUUUUAUUCUUUUUUUAGCUCCGUUUGAAAUUCUCCCGACGGCUGAAGGUCCUGUGAGUUCUAUAUACGUCGAUACUUCUUCGCAAUAAAUAAAUACAAAGAAAAAUAAAAGACCAGAGUCCUUGGUAGGGCUGUCUGCAAUAACGUACAUAUUUUUGUACCUUCGAGGAAGCAAAGGCUACGUUCGAAAUUCUCCUGACGGCUGAAGGUCCUGUGAGUUCUAUAUACGUCGAUACUUCUUCGCAAUAAAUAAAUACAAUGAAAAAUAAAAGACCAGAGUCCUUGGUUGGGCUGUCUACAAUAACGUACAUAUUUUUGUACCUUCAGGGAAGCAUAGGGAAGCUGAGACGAUUCCCCCCGGUGGACCAUAAUUGGCUAGGAAAAUAAGUAGGGACGAAAAGUGAGAUGGAACGAAAGAAAGGAAUUUGCUGAACAGAGGUAUUCAGGACGUCGAAAGGACGUCAAGAGGAUACGUGCUAAUAUAAAAAAAAAAAGUUUUUCGUCCCCUGUGGAAACAUUUCAAUUAAUCGUCUGACUACGUAAAUCAGAUCGUGCGAAUUCAAUUAGUACGUAAAAAGGUCCAGAUGCAACGAUUGAUGAAAAAAAUAUACAUAUAUAUGAGUCUUGAACGAAGAUGGCAGUGAAAGAGACUGCACGUGAAAUUCCAGCACAUUGAAGUGGUUACCAUCCAGAUACGCAGUCAAGGGCUGCUUCAGAAUCUAUUUACGGUAGCGGCUGCGCCAAUUUCGCACAAGUUGACCCCCUCGCGUUAAGGAGAAUUAUCGAUUU